rnacentral:lncRNA from 1 species
CGUUGACCAAUCUUAGUGUGGUGUUAUGAGCAAGAAAAGUGGGCAUUGGGGAGUGAAAGUCAAGUGCAAGAAGCAGGAAGAGCGAGUUUAGGAAAGUGCAAAUUACAAAUCAAGAAAAAUAGUAAUCAACAAGAUUGAGAAACAAAUAUGCAGUGUAGUGACAUAGCUGAUGUACAUCAUUCUGAGUGCAGCUGAAGAUGCAAGUGGAGAGAAAAAAAUUGAAGGCAGACAAUCAUACUGUACUCAUUUUGCUUAUAAUUAAUGCUUUGAGAGAAUUCUCACAUUUGGCUUAAGACUUACAAAGGCACACAGCAGGUUUGUUGGGAAUACAUGCUAAAGCGCUCCAUAAACUGUCGUAGAUUAUACACAAUGGCUAUGCACCAGUCACAAAUAUGAUUCAGUGUUUCUGAGUAAAACUACAAGACACUAAAAAUAUGCAGAAUUUAUUUUUAGAUGUUUGUGUUUAAAUGAAAAGAAGUCGGUAAUUAAAAUCAAUAUGAACACAGAUAAAAUGCCUGCACUCAUUAAUGUUACCUUACCAAUGUUGUCGCUACAUAUUAAAAGGGACACUAAAGAGAAAAAUGAUUUCAGCUGUGCUAGUAGAUAACCAUUCCAAUAUACCAGAAAAGCCACUCUUACUACGAGAAAACACUUGGUGAGCCAGAAAAGAUGCAAAAACGAAAGACUGGUGGCAUCUUCAAAUUCUCACACCCUCUAGCCGUGACGUCAUGGAUUUCGACGCCGUCUGCUCGAGCCCAGUUAAAUUCUGGCAUUAAAAAUGGGCUACAUUGUAUUCUAAAAAAAUCAGACUAAAUUUAAUAAUUGCUUUUACUGAACCACAAUGGCCAGAAUCUUAAAAAUACACUGUAAUCGGUGAUGUCGCAUUCAGGUACUGGCCUAGGAGUCCCGGCACGAAAUUCAAGAAAUUGAACAUCGCCCUUCAUUUUCUCUAAUAAUAAUCAACCUAUUACCGUGAAAUCAAUGAAAGUAGAGUUCUUCAAGAAUACUUCAUCAAUUGAAACUCAUUCAGUGCUUCACUUUAGUGUCCCUUUAGGUACACUCAAACCUCGGUAUAACAAAGCCGCACCUGACACAAAAAUACCUUCAUUACUAUAUCCAAUUUUCACUUAAAAGCACAUUAAAAUAUCGGUGUAAAAGAAAUUGUGGUUAAGUUUAUGCGAAAGCAAAACAUGUCCUGUUGAUUUCAAUCAACUCGUCAGAAGCUUGCCGUGCCAAUACAUGGCACGUAACAACAGUAAAUUAAACACGCACUUUGCACUGCCGUUAAUAUACAACCGUGCGAUAAGUGCUACUGCACCGGAUUGGCACGUUGGCUUGGUGGCUGUGGGCCACCCAAGUAAAGCAGUUAGCCAAAACACACACAUACAAUAAAAAUGUUACAUUUAAAGUUGCUCUUGCCGAGUAUCUGACAUUUUUGCUACCAGAAUACUUACUUUGAGCUACAAGGGAACAAAUAUUCGCUUCGUGUAACCAAUACACCAAUACAACACCAGCACGGUAAAUAAACUUUUGGAUUUACUUGAUUAUAUCCAUGUUUGUUAUAUUGAGGUUCGACUGUACAUCUUAAGAUUUAUGAUUAAUAGAACACCUGUAUCAUCUCUGCAUCUUCAGGGGCAUUAGAGGAAAAAAUGGACAUUACUUGCAUAACAAUUUGCAGUGUUCAGACAGAUAAUUAACAGAGUUUUGCUAGUUCACUCUUAAAUUCUACAUUUAAGGGCAGCAGUUGCAAUUGCAGAAAUGAAGACAGGUAGUAUAUAUGCAUCCACUCAUCAGAAAUCAUGAUACUAGUCACAGUUUUGAGAUACCCAUCCCUAAAAUGUGUUAGCAGUAAAUGCAUUGGCAUUCCAAUUAGUUUUAUCUUGCAGACUACAAGGGAGGCUUUGGGGAAAUAAUCAUCUGGAAUGCCAGUGCAUCUCAUAGCCUAUUUUGGAGACCGAUAUUUUAAAACCGGAGCUAGUUUCAGGGUUUCUGCUCAUGCUUUCAUUACAGGCCAGCUUCAAUUUCACGAUUGCAACGUGGGUCUAAAAGAGAACAAGUUAAAAGUUGAUUAGUGGAAGUAGCUUGAACGCUGCAAUCUGUAGUGCAAAUAACUGUCUACUUCUUCAUUCAAAGAAUCUGAAGUAAAAUGAAAUGAACAGUAUACAAUCAUUUCAUAUGU